GGAGGGAUAGCUCAGUGGUAGAGCACAUGCUUAGCAUACACGAGGUCCUGGGUUCAAUCCCCCAGUACCUCCA
rnacentral:tRNA from 1 species